rnacentral:rRNA from 1 species
UGCCUCAGUAACGGCGAGUGAAGCGGCAACAGCUCAAAUUUGAAAUCUGGCCCUUUCAGGGUCCGAGUUGUAAUUUGGAGAAGAUGCUUCGGGUGUGGCCCCGGUCUAAGUUCCUUGGAACAGGACGUCAUAGAGGGUGAGAAUCCCGUACGUGACCGGUGGCCUCCCCCGUGUGAAGCUCUUUCGACGAGUCGAGUUGUUUGGGAAUGCAGCUCAAAAUGGGUGGUAAAUUUCAUCUAAAGCUAAAUAUUGGCCAGAGACCGAUAGCGCACAAGUAGAGUGAUCGAAAGAUGAAAAGCACUUUGGAAAGAGAGUUAAACAGUACGUGAAAUUGUUGAAAGGGAAGCGCUUGCAACCAGACUUGCGCGCGGCCGAUCAUCUGGUGUUCUCACCGGUGCACUCGGCCGCGCUCAGGCCAGCAUCGGUUUGGGUGGCUGGAUAAAGGCCUCGGGAAUGUGGCUCUCUUCGGGGAGUGUUAUAGCCCGAGGUGCAAUGCAGCCUACCCGGACCGAGGACCGCGCUUCGGCUAGGAUGCUGGCGUAAUGGUUGUAAGCGACCCGUCUUGAAACACGGA